rnacentral:rRNA from 1 species
GUGCCAGCCGCCGCGGUAAUACGUAGGGGGCAAGCGUUACUCGGAAUUACUGGGCGUAAAGGGUGUGUAGGUGGCUGGAUAAGUCAAAGAUGAAAUCCCGAGGCUCAACUUCGGAAUUGUCUUUGAUACUGUUCAGCUUGAGGAUAGUUGAGGAGAGCGGAAUUCCCGGUGGAGCGGUGAAAUGCGUAGAUAUCGGGAGGAACACCUGAGGCGUAGGCGGUUCUCUAUACUAUUCCGGACACUGAGACACGAAAGCUAGGGGAGCAAACGGGAUUAGAUACCCCGGUAGUCCUAGCCGUAAACGAUGGACGCUAGAUGUUCCUGCGUUUAUGCGGGAGUGUCGUAGCUAACGCGUUAAGCGUCCCGCCUGGGGAGUACGGUCGCAAGAUUGAAACUUAAAUGAAUUGACAGGG